AAGGAACUGUUAUUUUGACAGGAAAAUACAAAGAAUAUCGGUUACAUACCAUUCAGAAUUGACGCGCUACAUGGACAAAUAGAUAUCUAAUCUCCAUUAAAUAUCAACUAAUGCAUCAGAGUUUAAAUCAGCAUACGGAUGUCUGUCACUCCUUCUGACCUUGAGAAGAUGGGUAACUUGCCUGUGACUCCUUGCUUGAUCCUUCAUAAUACUUUAUUGAAAUAAAACCAGAAAAAAGGAUCAAAGCUGCAUGGAGAAUAGAGGUGUCUAAAAUAACUGGUAAAACUGCAGAAGACGACCAAGAUGACAAAGAAGACCAUCAGUCCAGAAGUAUCUCAACCUUAUGCUGUCUCAAACCAGUAAACCAUAUUGGAGUUUAUAUUGGCAAAUGCUGAUUUGUAUUUCAUUA